GGGGCUCGAACUCAUGGACCGCGAGAUCAUGACCUAAGUCGAAGUCAGACGCUUAACUGACUAAGCCACCCAGGCCCCCCACCCCCCCCUUUUUUUUUAUUUAGCAGAGAUCUGGAAGGAUCCUUGCCCUCAAGGCCCUCACAGACUGUGUGGGGAAACAGGAAGUAGAUAAGGCUUACAUUACAAUGUGAUAAGCAACAUUAUCAUGGGUCCUUGUAGGAGACUUUGUAUAUCAUUGAUACAUGGUUUCAUUCACUUCCCCCGUUUUAGAGAGUCCGGCUCUGGGUUUUAUUUCUGAGAUGUUGUCGGGGGGUCAGGGUCAGAGCCUAAAGUGGAAUUCCUAAUAUUUGUGUCUUGAGGAUUUUCUUACGCCGCUGGCUUUCCACAUCCGCUCUAAUACCUGGUCAGGGGUUGACCUGAGAGUCCAUGCAUUCUAGAAAAGGUCCCAAGGCUUCACCUUUUUACUCCUAGGAGUUCAAAUUCUUGCUCUUACCUUAUGAUUUUGCUCUUGCAGGCAGGAACAAACCCUCGACCCACUGCCCUACCACAUCUGUCAGAUUGAUAAAACUUUCAGAAACAUUAUCCCGGGGCCUUACAAAAUACCGGUUUUUCUCAGCAGUGAUAAUACUGCAGGUGAAGAGUGUGAAGGAACAAAAGAAAACUCCUGAAAAUUCUAAAAUCCCCUCCUCUUCCCCAAAGAAAAGAACCACUGACUAAUACCUCUUGUGAAUAUAGAUGUCAAAAUCCUCAACAGAAUACCAGCAGACUGAAUUCGUCAACACAGAAAGAGGAUAUACACCGUAACUGAGAUUUAUCCCAGUCAAGAGAUGGAAACACACAGUAGGUUAAACGGGGAGAUUUACUAUAAAGAAUUAUUAAACUACGUAAGAGUAACUACAGGAUAUGAAGAAACUUGGGGCGCCUGGGUGGCUCAGUCGGUUAAGCAUCUGACUUCGGCUCAGGUCACGAUCUCAUGGUUGGUGAGUCAGAGCCCUCCAUCAGGCUCUCUGCUAUCAGCAAUGGAGCCUGCUUUGG